UGAAGGAAAAGGGGACUAUUAUCAGGCUCCACACAGUGCAUUUUUCCCACUUGGAGUCUUGGAAGCUCAGUUUUAAGAAGCAACCAUGGCUAUUUUUGAUGAUGCCAAGUUCCAGCUUGUGGAUGGCUGAGACAGCAUGGAUGAGAUGGACUUUGGAAAUAAGGAGGCUAAAGAGCUGCAAGUCAGAUGGAUGUUCUAAGUAACCACUAAAGUUGUUCUAUUCAUUGAAAAGCUUCUUUACCUCACACCAUUAUCUGAAACAAUUGGUGGAGCUCUGGUUUCUUGCUGAGCCAAAAUCACUCAUCACUAC